UGCAGUCGAGCGCACCUUCNGGUGAGCGGCGGACGGGUUAGUAACGCGUGGGAAUGUACCCUUCUCUACGGAAUANCCAUUGGAAACGAUGAGUAAUACCGUAUACGCCCUUCGGGGGAAAGAUUUAUCGGAGAAGGAUCANCCCGCGUUAGAUUANAUAGUUGGUGGGGUAAUGGCCUACCAAGUCUACGAUCUAUAGCUGGUUUUAGAGGAUGAUCANCAACACUGGGACUGAGACACGGCCCANACUCCUACGGGAGGCAGCAGUGGGGAAUCUUANACAAUGGGNGAAAGCCUGAUCUANCCAUGCCGCGUGAGUGAUGAAGGCCUUANGGUCGUAAAGCUCUUUCNCCAGGGAUGAUAAUGACAGUACCUGGUAAAGAAACCCCGGCUAACUCCGUGCCAGCAGCCGCGGUAAUACGGAGGGGGUUAGCGUUGUUCGGAAUUACUGGGCGUAAAGCGCACGUAGGCGGAUUAGAAAGUAUGGGGUGAAAUCCCAGGGCUCAACCCUGGAACUGCCUCAUAAACUCCUAGUCUAGAGUUCGAGAGAGGUGAGUGGAAUUCCNAGUGUAGAGGUGAAAUUCGUAGAUAUUCNGAGGAACACCANUGGCGAAGGCGGCUCACUGGCUCGAUACUGACGCUGAGGUGCGAAAGUGUGGGGAGCAAACAGGAUUANAUACCCUGGUAGUCCACACCGNAAACGAUGAAUGCCAGUCGUCGGGUAGUAUACUAUUCNGUGACACACCUAACGGAUUAAGCAUUCCGCCUGGGGAGUACGGUCGCAAGAUUAAAACUCA
rnacentral:rRNA from 1 species